CGGCACAGAGGGAAGCCAGGUGGCGACACCGCGCGGAACCGAAGCCGUUCUCAGUUCGGAUCAGAGUCUGCAACCCGACUCCGUGAAGCUGGAUUCGCUAGUAAUCGCGCAUCAGCCAUGGCGCGGUGAAUACGUUCCCGGGCCUUGUACACACCGCCCGUCAAGCCAUGGGAGCCGGGGGUGCUUGAAGUGCGUCGCCGCAAGGCGCGCCCUAGAGCAAAACCGGUGACUGGGGCUAAGUCGUAACAAGGUACC
rnacentral:rRNA from 1 species